GAUGAACGCUAGCGGCAGGCUUAACACAUGCAAGUCGAGGGGCAACACGGGUAGCAAUACCUGGUGGCGACCGGCGCAAGGGUGCGUAACGCGUGAGCAACAUGCCCUAUACAGGGGGAUAAUCCAGGGAAACUUGGUCUAAUAUCCCAUAGUAUUUAGAGGUGGCAUCACCACUAAAUUAAAGCUUCGGUGGUAUAGGAUUGGCUCGCGUGACAUUAGCUGGAUGGUGGGGUAACGGCUCACCAUGGCGAUGAUGUCUAGGGGUUCUGAGAGGAAGACCCCCCACACUGGGACUGAGACACGGCCCAGACUCCUACGGGAGGCAGCAGUGAGGAAUAUUGGACAAUGGAUGGAAAUCUGAUCCAGCCAUGCCGCGUGCAGGAAGACGGCCCUAUGGGUUUAAACUGCUUUUAAUGGGAGCAAUAAGGUUUACGCGUAGACCGAUGAGAGUACCAUAUGAAUAAGCAUCGGCUAACUCCGU
rnacentral:rRNA from 1 species